UCCCGCCGGAUGUGGGGCUCGAUCCCACGACUCUGGGAUCAUGACCUGAGCCGAAGGCAGACGCUUAACGACUGAGGCACCCCUCAUCGUUAGCUUUUUUAUAAAAAAUAAAUAGUAAUAAUCUAGCCUCUUCAGAGACAGUGUCCUAAACUCUCUCACUACAACUUGAUUUCAAAGGAACUAAUAAAACCCGGGUUAAAAGGCGAUCAACAAUAAAAUUACUGCAAUAGCUGGGGGGAUGGGGGGGUUGUCAGUCAGUCCCUACCGAGUGAGAAAGCAAGCAGGGAGAGGUAGAGUUGGGCUAGAGCUCUUUAAUUCAUUAAUGCAAGCUUUGUCGAAUUCAAACUUUCUCCAGAACUGCGGGUGAAACCUACUUCUCCUUCCCUUGUCCUCCCUCUGGUGGAGAAUUCUAAAGAGCAGUGAAAUCGAGAAAACGUUGGCACCCUGCUGCAAAAGACAGAAGUUAGAGGCCAGAGUAAUCCACACCACGGAAUGAUCCAGAAUCAUGGUAAUAAGAACUGCUGAGAGAGAUUUUAGCAGUAUUGCCAUCAUAAUUUAUUUUGAAAAAGUUUGAUGUCCAAGUAUCUUCUGCUGACCCUUCAACAAACACCAAAAAUAAAUUUUGCUAGGCUAUAAAAACAGCGAAAUCAGGGGAAAGAUUAUGAAUAAGCCUGAAUAGCACUGUAAUAUUCCACAGAGUCUAAUGUAAAAUGAAAUCUGAAUGUUGGCUGAAAUAGCUCUGUUUUCCCAGGAGGGGCCACUGCUCAACAAGAAGGAAACAGCAAAAUUCAGAAAAGGGGAACCCUUUCAAAAAAAGAGAGAAAAAAAAAGGCCAAAAAUUGCAAUGAUAAAUGUUGAAAGAGCAUUGAAGAAAGAUGAUGAAGGGGCAGUUGGAUGACAGGGCUUCCUGGGACUACGUUUGGAUUCUGGAGUCAUAUUUUAGUUGUCAGUUGCAGCUGAAUUGUCAGAAAAUUUAUGACAAAGUCCAAAACUUUUUUCUACUAAUAUAUUGUUUAAAUGUGCCUUUAUCCUUUAUGUUAUUUAAUGUUAAUUUUUUGAGGGUUAUUUUAUUCCAUUAUUUAUGAUUAGGUAAAAGAUUAACCAAA